GUGGCGCCUUCCAGUGCCAGAUGCCCCCUGCUGUGACAUGCCUGCUGGGGAGGGUGUGUGGUUAGCUUAGGUUAGGUUAGGUUAGCAUGGUUAAGUUAGACUAGGUUAGGUUAGGUUAGGUUAGCAAGGUUAGGUUAAGCUAGGCUAGGUUAGGUUAGAGAUAAAGUUAGGUUAGGUUAAGUUAGGUUAGCAAGGUUAGGUUAGGUUAGGUCAGGUCAGGUCAAGUUAGGUUUUUGUUAAUCCAUGACUAUCAUUAGCAAAAUAUUAUUCAUAUGAGAGAGAGAGAGAGAGAGAGAGAGAGAGAGAGAGAGAGAGAGAGAGAGAGAGAGAGAGAGAGAGAGAGAGAGAGAGAGAGAGAGAGAGAGAGAGAGAGAGAGAGAGA